CACGCGGCCGCGCGCCUCCGCCUCGUGCCUCCUCCGGCAGAGCGCGGGAGGGGCGAGCCCGCCCUCGCGCCGAUGUGUAUGUGGACACGUAUGUUGCUUGCACUGAAAGUAAUGCUUCCUAUUUACUUCCAUGGAAACUACAAGAGAUACAAACAGCACCAUGACACAAUUGGAUAGAACAAAUUCUCAGCUAUAAGAUGUUAUUUUUCAACACAGCCACCAGCAUUACCUGUAUGUUUUCACCAGCAUUGAGAAAGAGCCUGCAUCAUGCAUUCAUAAAUGUCUGCACCAGCAGAGGGAGCACUGUUUGCGCUGCUGAAAUGCACCACCGGGACAGUGGGUGCCAUUUUCUUCCCGCAUGGACGAAUUUAAUUCCACACCUUUGCUUCGUACAUGCUUCCACGUCAGAUGCCAUGUUGUCAGACUGCCCCAUUGCUGCCAUCUGUUGAAAGGCAACAAAAUGGAAUGGGUGAUUGUUGGGAAGGUUCAGCCUCUACUGUUAUACCACCAACAUCUGCCUCUGACGAUAUGGGCCAACGUUAUAAGAUAAGAGGCGCUACUUUCAGAGCAGCCCUUGUAAUGAUAUCCUGCCUUCACAGACAGGAGCUGUUGAAUACAGCGACUCUUUCAGUUAUGAAAGCAAGAAAUCUGAAGAACUGGAAACAGUGUAGCUCAAGCUGAGAAGAGAAAAAUACUUGAGAUAAGACUACAGGAAGAGGAGAAGAUAUAAAUCAAGGUCUUUAUCAGGACCAACUGGUGAAUGUUUUGGAAAACUAGGUAA